GACGAACGCUGGCGGCGUGCCUAAUACAUGCAAGUAGAACGCUGAAGGAGGAGCUUGCUUCUCUGGAUGAGUUGCGAACGGGUGAGUAACGCGUAGGUAACCUGCCUGGUAGCGGGGGAUAACUAUUGGAAACGAUAGCUAAUACCGCAUACUAGCAGUUGUUGCAUGAUAACUGUUUGAAAGGUGCAAUUGCACCACUACCAGAUGGACCUGCGUUGUCUUAGCUAGUUGGUGGGGUAACGGCUCACCAAGGCGACGGUACAUAGCCGACCUGAGAGGGUGAUCGACCAACCUGGGACUGAGACACGGCCCAGACGCCUAAGGGGAGGAGCAGAAGGGAAUCUUCGGAAAUGGACGGAAGUCUGAACAAGAAACGCCGCGGGAGUGAAGAAGGAUCUCGGGUCGUGAAGCUCUGUUUUAAGAGAAGAACGAGAGUGAGAGUGGAAAGUUCACACUGUGACGGUAUCGUAACAGAAAGGGACGGCUAACUACGUG
rnacentral:rRNA from 1 species